AAUCAACGCUGGCGGCGUGCCUAACACAUGCAAGUCGAACGAGAAAGUCCCCGCAAGGGGAUGAGUACAGUGGCGACCGGGUGAGUAACACGUGACUAACCUACCCUGAAGCGGGGAAUAACCUCGGGAAACCGGGGCUAAUACCGCAUACCUUCCAGAGGGGAAGCUCCUGUGGAGGAAACGAGCAAUCGGCUUUAGGAGGGGGUCGCGCCCGAUUACGGUAGUUGGCGGGGUAAUGGCCCACCAAGCCUUUGANCGGUAGCCGGCCUGAGAGGGCGCACGGCCACACUGGAACUGAAACACGGUCCAGACUCCUACGGGAGGCAGCAGUGGGGAAUUUUGCGCAAUGGGGGAAACCCUGACGCAGCAACGCCGCGUGGAGGAUGAAGUCCCUUGGGACGUAAACUCCUUUCGACCGGGACGAUAAUGACGGUACCGGUGGAAGAAGCCCCGGCUAACUCCGUGCCAGCCGCCGCCGUAAU
rnacentral:rRNA from 1 species